AGUGAACGCUGGCGGUAGGCCUAACACAUGCAAGUCGAACGGCAGCACAGUAAGAGCUUGCUCUUACGGGUGGCGAGUGGCGGACGGGUGAGGAAUACAUCGGAAUCUACUUUUUCGUGGGGGAUAACGUAGGGAAACUUACGCUAAUACCGCAUACGACCUACGGGUGGAAGCAGGGGAUCUUCGGACCUUGCGCGAUUGAAUGAGCCGAUGUCGGAUUAGCUAGUUGGCGGGGUAAAGGCCCACCAAGGCGAUGAUCCGUAGCUGGUCUGAGAGGAUGAUCAGCCACACUGGAACUGAGACACGGUCCAGACUCCUACGGGAGGCAGCAGUGGGGAAUAUUGGACAAUGGGCGCAAGCCUGAUCCAGCCAUACCGCGUGGGUGAAGAAGGCCUUCGGGUUGUAAAGCCCUUUUGUUGGGAAAGAAAAGCAGCAGGUUAAUACCCCGCUGUUCUGACGGUACCCAAAGAAUAAGCACCGGCUAACUUCGUG
rnacentral:rRNA from 1 species